AGAGUUUGAUCCUGGCUCAGGACGAACGCUGGCGGCGUGCUUAACACAUGCAAGUCGAACGGAAAGGCCCUUCGGGGUACUCGAGUGGCGAACGGGUGAGUAACACGUGGGUGAUCUGCCCUGCACUUUGGGAUAAGCCUGGGAAACUGGGUCUAAUACCGAAUAGGACCGCGCUCUUCAUGGGGUGUGGUGGAAAGCUUUUGCGGUGUGGGAUGGGCCCGCGGCCUAUCAGCUUGUUGGUGGGGUAAUGGCCUACCAAGGCGACGACGGGUAGCCGGCCUGAGAGGGUGACCGGCCACACUGGGACUGAGAUACGGCCCAGACUCCUACGGGAGGCAGCAGUGGGGAAUAUUGCACAAUGGGCGCAAGCCUGAUGCAGCGACGCCGCGUGAGGGAUGACGGCCUUCGGGUUGUAAACCUCUUUCAAUAGGGACGAAGCGCAAGUGACGGUACCUACAGAAGAAGGACCGGCCAACUACGUGCCAGCAGCCGCGGUAAUACGUAGGGUCCGAGCGUUGUCCGGAAUUACUGGGCGUAAAGAGCUCGUAGGUGGUUUGUCGCGUUGUUCGUGAAAACUCACAGCUUAACUGUGGGCGUGCGGGCGAUACGGGCAGACUAGAGUACUGCAGGGGAGACUGGAAUUCCUGGUGUAGCGGUGGAAUGCGCAGAUAUCAGGAGGAACACCGGUGGCGAAGGCGGGUCUCUGGGCAGUAACUGACGCUGAGGAGCGAAAGCGUGGGUAGCGAACAGGAUUAGAUACCCUGGUAGUCCAA
rnacentral:rRNA from 1 species